rnacentral:rRNA from 1 species
UACGUAGGCAGCGAGCGUUGUUCGGAGUUACUGGGCGUAAAGCGUGCGUAGGCGGCGCCGUAAGUCAGGGGUGAAAUCCCGGAGCUCAACUCCGGAACUGCCCUUGAAACUGCAGUGCUAGAAUCCUGGAGAGGCGAGUGGAAUUCCGAGUGUAGAGGUGAAAUUCGUAGAUAUUCGGAAGAACACCAGUGGCGAAGGCGACUCGCUGGACAGGUAUUGACGCUGAGGUGCGAAAGCGUGGGGAGCAAACAGG